ACCUGCGGAAGGACAUU
rnacentral:rRNA from 2 species